AUUGAACGCUAGCGGAAUGCUUUACACAUGCAAGUCGAACGGCAGCACGGACUUCGGUCUGGUGGCGAGUGGCGAACGGGUGAGUAAUGUAUCGGAACGUGCCCAGUCGUGGGGGAUAACGUAGUGAAAAUUACGCUAAUACCGCAUACGAUCUAUGGAUGAAAGCGGGGGAUCGCAAGACCUCGCGCGAAUGGAGCGGCCGAUAUCAGAUUAGGUAGUUGGUGGGGUAAAGGCCCCCCAAGCCAACUAUCUGUAGCGGGUCUGAGAGGACGACCAGCCACACUGGAACUGAGACACGGUCCAGACUCCUACGGGAGGCAGCAGUGGGGAAUUUUGGACAAUGGGCGAAAGCCUGAUCCAGCCAUUCCGCGUGCAGGAUGAAGGCCCUCGGGUUGUAAACUGCUUUUGUACAGAACGAAAAGGUUUCUACUAAUACUAGGAGCUCAUGACGGUACUGUAAGAAUAAGCACCGGCUAACUACGUGCCAGCAGCCGCCGUAA
rnacentral:rRNA from 1 species